ACAAAAUCAAUCUAAAUUUGCCUCUAGAUCCAAAGAAUGGAAUCCAGAGUUUCUUCUUCAUUUCUCAAUGGUUAUCUUUUAUGGAAGAAGCAAAGCUCCAUUUUAUUUCCAAAUCACAUUUCUAGAUCUGAGCAGAGUCAGUGAGACUCAAUGUUGUAAUUGUUCUAUAUGGAAUUCAUAAUAAAAGAGUUGGUUGUUGAUUCUUCAGGUUUUGCCUUUCUGAUGAUACAAUUUAAUGUGACUGAUUUAUCUUGUAACUAAAGAAGUACCAACUUUAAUCAUGUGAAUUUUUAAUAAUCGAAAAGAAAUCAUGGGUUGUGUAUGAA